rnacentral:rRNA from 1 species
UACGGGGGGGGCAAGCGUUGUUCGGAAUUACUGGGCGUAAAGGGCCAGUAGGCGGCCAACUAAGUCCGACGUGAAAUCCCAAGGCUUAACCUUGGAACUGCGUCGGAUACUGGAUGGCUUGAAUUCGGGAGAGGGAUGCAGAAUUCCAGGUGUAGCGGUGAAAUGCGUAGAUAUCGGAAGGAACACCGGUGGCGAAAGCGGCGUACUGGGGCUUAACUGACGCUGAGGCACGAAAGCCAGGGGAGCGAACGGG